UGGAUCCAGACUUUGAUUCUGGCUCAGGACGAACGCUGGCGGCGCGCCUAACACAUGCAAGUCGAACGAGCGAGAGAGAGCUUGCUUUCUCGAGCGAGUGGCGAACGGGUGAGUAACGCGUGAGGAACCUGCCUCAAAGAGGGGGAUAACAGUUGGAAACGACUGCUAAUACCGCAUAAGCCCACGGGUCGGCAUCGACCAGAGGGAAAAGGAGCAAUCCGCUUUGAGAUGGCCUCGCGUCCGAUUAGCUAGUUGGUGAGGUAACGGCCCACCAAGGCGACGAUCGGUAGCCGGACUGAGAGGUUGAACGGCCACAUUGGGACUGAGACACGGCCCAGACUCCUACGGGAGGCAGCAGUGGGGAAUAUUGCACAAUGGGGGAAACCCUGAUGCAGCGACGCCGCGUGGAGGAAGAAGGUCUUCGGAUUGUAAACUCCUGUUGUUGGGGAAGAUAAUGACGGUACCCAACAAGGAAGUGACGGCUAACUACGUGCCAGCAGCCGCGGUAAAACGUACGUCACAAGCGUUGUCCGGAAUUACUGGGUGUAAAGGGAGCGCAGGCGGGAAGACAAGUUGGAAGUGAAAUCUAUGGGCUCAACCCAUAAACUGCUUUCAAAACUGUUUUUCUUGA
rnacentral:rRNA from 1 species